CUAGUGUACAUACUGUGAUUAAAGAGACUACUUAAUUUAGUGAAGAGAAACAUCACAAAGAUAGUUAUGAAGAGGGCUACAAAGCAGGUGUUGAAGCCGGAAACCCUGAAGGAUAUCAUUUAGGAUAUCACAGAGGAGCUGAAUUGGGUCGUGAACUUGGCUAUUAUUUAGGUGUUGUUU
rnacentral:lncRNA from 1 species